AGGCGCCCGCCAUCAUGCCCGGCUAAUUUUUGUAUUUUUAGUAGAGACGGGGUUUCACCGUGUUGGCCAGGCUGGUCUCGAACUCCUGACCUCAGGUGAUCCACCCCCAUCAGCCUCCCGAAGUGAAAAACCACAGUUUGUUUACCCAUUAUCCACUCCUCCCUUGAUGGACACUUCAGUUUCUCUACUUUUGACUAUUAUGAAUAAAGCUGCUAUAAACACGAGAGUACAAAUAUCUCUUUAAAACACUGUUUUCAAUUUUUGGGGGUAUAUACCCAGAUGAGGACACAGGUGGAUCAUCUGGUAACUUUAUUAAGAAUUUAACGGAAACCAUCUCACUUCCAAAGCCCCUGUACCACAUCACAUUCCCAACAACAGGGCGGAAGGCUUCUUAUUUUUCCAUAGCCUGCCAACACUUGUUAUAUUCUGUUUUAUGGAUAAUAGCCAUGUUAAUAAUGUGUGGUGGUUCCUUCUUUCUCUUAAAAUCUAUUUUUUCGAUUUUUCAACAAUGACAAUUAUUGAAUAAUGGGAUAUGUGUGUCUGCUGGGCACCGUGCAAUUUCUCGAACUUUCGAAUCAGAUGGGGCCAUGCCACCCUCACUCCUCAUUCUCACUGAUUUUCACUGGGGGAUUGCUUUUCUUCACAGCAAGCACUGACACCUCAGCUUCACAGAGACAUUGUGUCAGCCCAGGAAAUGUAGAGAGACCAAAUGCAGAAUCUGUGAACCAUUGGAGCUGGUAGUUUCCGUGGCCUCGGAUGCGGAAUGUUGCUGUUCUCCCCUCAAUUUUAAUGUAUCCAGGGAUCCUCUGCAGACAAUUGCAGGAUAUAUAAACUGUAGAAAGAAACAUUCUUCGGGGAUUUCUCAAUAAUAUUUAAGAGUAUUGGGAUUCUGUCGAUGACACAAAUGGAGGGAAAAUCAUUCCAUGCUCAAGGAUUGGAAGAAUCAAUAUCAUUAAAAUGGCUAUACAACACAAAGUAAACUACAGAUUCAACGUUAUUCCUAUCAAAUGACCAAUGUAAUUCUUCACAUAAUUGGAAAAAACAAUCUGAAGCAGCAAGAACAAAGUUGGAGGUAUCACAUUACCCAACUUCAAACUGUAAGACUACAGUCGCCAAAACAGCAGGGUACUGGUACAAAAACACACGUAGACCAAUGAAACAGAGCAGAGAACCCAGAAAUAAAGCUACUCACCUACAGCCGUCUAAUCUUUGACAAAGUUGACAAAAAAAAAAAAGCAAUCCAAAAGGACUCUCUAUUCAAUAAAUUGUGCUGGGAUCACUGGCUAGCCAUAUGCAGAAGAAUAAAACUGGACCCCUACAUUUCACCAUAUACAAAAAUUAACUCAAGGUGGAAUAAAGAUUUAAACGUAACACCUCAAGCUAUACAAAUCCUAGAAGAAAAUCUAGAAAACACCAUUCUGAACUUGGGCCUUGGGAAAUAAUUUAUGACUAAAUUCUCAAAAGCUAUUGCAACAAAAACAAAAAUUGACAAGUGGGACCUAAUUAAACUAAAGAGCUUCUGCGCAAGAAAAAAACUUUCAACAGAGUAAACAGGCAACCUACAGAAUGGGAGAAAAUAUUCACAAACUGCAUCUGAAAAAGGUCUAAUGUCAAAAAAUCUGUAAGGAACUUAAACAACUAAACAAGGAAAAACCAAAUAACCCCAUUAAAAAUUGGCAAAAGAUAUGAACAGACGCUUCUGAAAAGAUGAUAUAUAAGCAGCCAACAAAUAUAUGAAAAAAUGUUUAUAAUCGCUAAUCAUCAGAGUAAUGCAAGUCAAAACCACAAUGAGACAUCAUCUCACACGAAUAAGAAUGGCUAUUAAUAAAAAGUCAAAAAACAGUAAUCGCUGGUGAUGCUGUGGAGAAAUGGAAACACUUACACACUGUUGGCAGGAAUGUCAAUUAGUUCAGUCACUGUGGAGAGCAGUUUAGAGAUUUCUCAAAGAACUUCGAACAGAACUACCAUUUGACCCAGCAAUCCCAUUACUGAGUAUAUACCCGGGCAUGGUGGCUCACACCUAUAAUCCCAGCACUGUGGAAGGCUAAGGCUAGUGGAUCACCUGAAGUCAGGAGCUCAAGACCAGCCUGGCCAACAUGGUGAAACACCGCCUCUACUAAAAAUACAAAAAUUAUCCAGGUGUGGCGGCGGGUGCCUGUAAUCCCAGCUACUCGGGAGGCUGAGGCUGGAGAAUCACUUGAACCCAGGAGGCAGAGGUUGCAGUGGAGAUUGCGCCACUGCACUCCAGACUGGGCAAGAAGAAUGAAACUCUGUCUCAAAAAGAAAAAGGAAAUUGAGAAUACAAUGACUAAAAUUUGAAAUAGAUAAUGUAACCAACUUUUCCGUUAUGUUUGGGGUCAUUGCUAUGGCAACAAUAAAAGGGUUCCCUAUUUCCCAUCAGUCUUAAGCAAGAUCUAGUGGCAACCUAACUGAUACUGCUGGCACUUAAAAAGCAAAGACUAGGCGUGGUGGUGUAUGCCUGUAAUCCCAGCACUUUGGGAGGCUGAGGUGGGAGGAUCACUUGAGCUCAGGAGUUUGAGACCAGCCUGAGCAAUAUAGCGAGACUAGAUCCCUACAAAAGUUUUAAAAGUUCACUGUGCGUGGUGGCAAGGAUCUGUGAUUCCAGCUCCCACUCAGGAAGCUGAGAUGGGAGGAUCCCAUUAGCCCAGGAGGUCAAGACUGCAGGGAGUCAUGAUCACACCACUGCAUUCCAGCCUUAAUGACAGAGUGAGAUCCUGUCUCAAAAACAAACAAACAAAAGCCAAAACAGCAUGGUAAAAAUAUUUUCAUAGAAGAAAACAGUCGGCCAGGCGCGGUGGCUCACGCCUGUAAUCCCAGCACUUUCGAGGUGGGCGGACAACAAGGUCAGGAGAUCGUGACCAGCCUGGCCAACAUGGUGAAACCCCAUCUCUACUAAAAAUACAAAAAUUAGCCGGGCGUGGUGGUGCACACCUGUAGCUCCAGCUACUUGGGAGGCUGAGGCAGAAUAAUCGCUUGAACCCAGAAGGCAGAGGUUGCAGUGAGCCGAGAUUGCACCACUGCACUCCAGCCUGGGUGACAGAGUGAGAUUCUGUCAAAAAAAAAAAAAAAAAGAAAAGAAAAGAAAGUCGAAAUUAUUUGAGGUGUAUAAUUGUUUUCUUAGCCAGUAUGCAUGUUUUAAAUUUAGGACAAUUUAUCAUUAACUAUAGAAAUUAUAAAGGUAAUUAAACCCAUAUUACUCAUGUUCUGAACCAAGAAAGCAGCAUAUUUGGCAUUCUAAAUACUUACAAAACAUAAAAGACUGCUAGAGCAACAAGUCAGCCUUGUAAUUAAAUAUGAAAAAUCAACUUUUGGUUGUUGAUAAGUUGUAUCUCAUGCUUACUUUCUGUUUCACUGAUUUCUACUUUUAACUUUAUUAUUUCCUUCCAUUCUUC
rnacentral:lncRNA from 1 species